rnacentral:rRNA from 1 species
GGACUCUCUGAUCCGCUAAGCCUGCGAGUCGAGAGGGUUCGGCCCUCGGCGAACCGCUCAGUAACACGUGGAUAACCUACCCUGGAGUGGGGGAUAAUCUCGGAAACCUGAGGAUAAUACCCCAUAGGUCUUUGGUACUGGAAUGUUCUUAGGCUGAAAGUUACGGCGCUCCAGGAUGGGUCUGCGGCCUAUCAGGUAGUAGUGAGUGUAAAGGACUCACUAGCCGACAACGGGUACGGGCCAUGGGAGUGGUAGCCCGGAGAUGGAUUCUGAGACACGAAUCCAGGCCCUACGGGGCGCAGCAGGCGCGAAAACUUCGCAAUGCGCGAAAGCGCGACGAGGGGAUUCCAAGUGCAUGCACUUUGUGUAUGCUGUUUGCUAGUGCAUAUAGCUAGUAGAGUAAGGGUUGGGUAAGACUGGUGCCAGCCGCCGCGGUAAUACCAGCGGCCCUAGUGGUGAUCGUUAUUAUUGGGCCUAAAGCGUCCGUAGCCGGCCCGGUAAAUCUCUGGGUAAAUCGCUGGGCUCAACCCAACGAAUUCUAGGGAGACUGCCAGGCUUGGGACCGGGAGAGGUUGGAGGUACUCCAGGGGUAGGGGUGAAAUCCUGUAAUCCUUGGGGACCACCGGUGGCGAAGGCGUCCAACCAGAACGGGUCUGACGGUCAGGGACGAAGCCCUGGGGCGCAAACGGGAUUAGAUACCCCGGUAGUCCAGGGUGUAAACGCUGCUCGCUUGAUGUUAGCUGGGCUCCGAGCCCGGCUAGUGUCGGAGAGAAGUUGUUAAGCGAGCUGCCUGGGGAGUACGGUCGCAAGACUGAAACUUAAAG